rnacentral:rRNA from 1 species
CAAUAGCGUAUAUUAAAGUUGUUGCAGUUAAAAAGCUCGUAGUUGGACCUUGGACCUGGACAGGCGGUCCGCCUCACGGCGUGUACUGUCUUGCUGGGUCUUUCCUCUUGGUGAUCUGUUGUUUCGGCAGCAGGGAACCAGGACUUUUACUUUGAAAAAGUUAGAGUGUUCAAAGCAGGCUCGACGCCGGAAUAUAUUAGCAUGGAAUAAUAAAAUAGGACGUGCGGCUCUAUUUUGUUGGUUUUUGGAAUCGCCGUAAUGAUUAAUAGGGACAGUCGGGGGCAUUAGUACUCACAUGCUAGAGGUGAAAUUCUUGGAUUUUGUGAAGACUAACUUCUGCGAAAGCAUUUGCCAAGGAUGUUUUCAUUAA